CUUUCCAGCAGGUUCUACCCCAGCCCGGUGUUGCCCCCACAGGGCCCUGUCCACUCUCCCUCCUCCUGGGGCCAGCAUGUGCUGUCACAUCACAUUCUGUAAAAUGGGCCACGAGUCACACAUGGCCGGCGGUAGAGCCACCAGAAGGGCCGAGGUAACCGAGGUUGGGACUGGGGCCUCUGCACCAGAUGGAAUUGGACACGGGGACCUCGGGGCAAUGACAGGCCACGGAACAGCAGCAGGAAACGUUCCAACCCGUUGGUAACUGAAGCGCCAGGCUGGGGCCGGGGACUCAGGGCAGGGUCUGGUGCAGUUCUGGGGAGACCCUGGUUUCCCCAGCGGGAGGGGGCAGCAGGGAGGUAAUGGCGACUCGCUGGGAAGCGGUCACUCUCUGACCAGGACUGGGCCUUCUUGAACCUCAGUCUGGGCAGGGGCUCCACCGCCGAGCCACGCCCCCAGCCCCUCACUGGGAGAUUCUAGAGAAGGGCUCUGCAGGAACCAGGCGCAAAGCACAGGUAACAUCUCUUUCCUCUUAGGCAAGCUCGUCAUGCUCCUGCCUCAGCUUGACUGGCUCAGGUAUCAUAGACAGGAUGCUGUUUCCCUUACGUUGCUGCCUGGAAAACCUCUGGGGCUGUGUCGGAAACGGGCUGGCGUUCACUUGUCCUAGCUGAACCCCAAGGUGCUCUUGGACACCUGGACACAGGCUGGGCAGAGUACCCUGGCCGCUCGCCUCGAUGUGUUCCCACCCCAGGGCAGAGCUAUCGGGGCUUAGCGCUCGCUAAUGAGCACAGGCCCUUAGGACUUGUUUAACAGGUGUGCAGAGGGCCAGCUCCUGGCCUCACCUCAUCACUCAGGGAGAUGGGGACAUGAGACACCCUCCUCGAUGGCCCGAGAGGCUGUUGACAGUCUUUCCCAACAAGGAAGUGAAGCGUGUGGGUGUGGCCAGGCACAGCUGGUACCUGCUUGACCAGCAAACCUCCGGGGACAGCAGCCUGGAGCAGUGACACUCGGGGAGGGGCUGUUCUUGGGUCUGGGGUCCCCAGGAUGGGGCACAGACUGAGUGGCAGCGCUGUGCUCUGUGGCCCUGGGCAGGGUCUUAGCCUCUCUGGUGAGUUCAGUGUUUGUAACCACAAAGGUCGGGGCUUGCAGGGGGCCCCAGGCAGGGCCGAGAAUCCCAGUCCCCAAAGACACGCAGCCAACAGGUACAAUGUUUCAUAUUCGCAAUAAACGUACCGUACAAAA